GACGAACGCUGGCGGCGUGCUUAACACAUGCAAGUCGAACGGAAAGGCCCUGCUUGCAGGGUACUCGAGUGGGGAACGGGUGGGUAACACGUGGGUGCUCUGCCCUGCACUUCGGGGUAGGCCUGGUCAACUGGGUCUAAUACCGGAUAGGAGCCAUUUUUAGUGUGAUGGUUGAAAAGUUUUUUCGGUGUUGGGUGAGCUCGCGGCCUAUCGGCUUGUUGGUGGGGUAAUGGCUUACCAAGGCGGCGGCGGGUAGCCGGACUGUGGGGGUGGGCGGCGAUCCUGGGACCGAGAGGAGGCAGAGACUCCGAAUGUUGGCAACUGGGGGGAAGCUUGCACAAUGGGCGCCAGCUGGGUGAAGAGACGCCGCGGGUGGGAAGACGCUCUUCUGGUUGUAGACUACUUUCGCUAGGGACGAAGCUUUUUGUGACGGUACCUAGAUAAGAAGCACCGGCUAACUACGUG
rnacentral:rRNA from 1 species